CCCGCCUCCCGGCGGACGGGACGAAAUGUGGCUUCCGAGGUGUCGCGCCUCUCGGCUGAAUCGCAAG
rfam:Halobacteriaceae archaeon SB9 contig_23, whole genome shotgun sequence.